rnacentral:rRNA from 1 species
AGAGUUUGAUCCUGGCUCAGAACGAACGCUGGCGGCAUGCCUAACACAUGCAAGUCGAACGAACCCUUCGGGGUUAGUGGCGCACGGGUGCGUAACGCGUGGGAACCUGCCUUUAGGUUCGGAAUAACUCAGAGAAAUUUGAGCUAAUACCGGAUAAUGUCUUCGGACCAAAGAUUUAUCGCCUUUAGAUGGGCCCGCGUUAGAUUAGAUAGUUGGUGGGGUAAUGGCCUACCAAGUCGACGAUCUAUAGCUGGUCUGAGAGGAUGAUCAGCCACACUGGGACUGAGACACGGCCCAGACUCCUACGGGAGGCAGCAGUGGGGAAUAUUGGACAAUGGGCGAAAGCCUGAUCCAGCAAUGCCGCGUGAGUGAUGAAGGCCUUAGGGUUGUAAAGCUCUUUUACUAGGGAUGAUAAUGACAGUACCUAGAGAAUAAGCUCCGGCUAACUCCGUGCCAGCAGCCGCGGUAAUACGGAGGGAGCUAGCGUUGUUCGGAAUUACUGGGCGUAAAGCGCACGUAGGCGGCUUAUCAAGUCAGGGGUGAAAUCCCGGGGCUCAACCCCGGAACUGCCCUUGAAACUGAUAAGCUAGAAUCUUGGAGAGGCGAGUGGAAUUCCGAGUGUAGAGGUGAAAUUCGUAGAUAUUCGGAAGAACACCAGUGGCGAAGGCGACUCGCUGGACAAGUAUUGACGCUGAGGUGCG